rnacentral:rRNA from 1 species
AGAGAGAGACAUGCGCGCAUAUCAAUAAGCGGAGGAAAAGAAACUAACAAGGAUUCCCUUAGUAACGGCGAGUGAAGCGGGAAGAGCUCAAAUUUGAAAUCUUCAAGGUUUUACCUUGACGAAUUGUCAGUUUAAAGAAGUGUUUUCUGCUGAAGUUUUGGUAAAAGUUCUUUGGAAUAGGACAUCAUAGAGGGUGAGAAUCCCGUAUUUGACCAUUAUUUUCAGCUUUGUGAUACACUUUCAAAGAGUCGGAUUGUUCGGGAAUGCAGUCCAAAAUGGGUGGUAAAUUUCAUCUAAAGCUAAAUAUUGGCGAGAGACCGAUAGCGAACAAGUACCGUGAGGGAAAGAUGAAAAGAACUUUGAAAAGAGAGUUAAACAGUACUUGAAAUUGUCAAAAGGGAAGCGUUUGACACCAGUGUUGUUUUCUCGAAAAUCAAUUAAAAAUGGCUCGAUUUUGUAUUGUUGAGACCUUAAAAGCUCACUGUACAUUUUUCGUGUCUUUUUUAAUGCACUUUUCGUUUAACAAGUCAACAUCAGUUUCUUUUGUUGUAAAAGGGUCAUUGGAAGGUGGCUUUCCUUUCAGAGAAAGUGUUUAUAGCCUUUGGCCUCUGCAAUCGGAGAGACUGAGGUCUGCAGCGUAGACUCUUCGGGGUUAGAUACAUUUGUGCUAAGUUAUAGCUUUUUAUAGACAACUUGUUGACUAUAAUUAGUCUUGUAGCUUACUCGCUUAUGCUAUUUUACCUACGCUUAGGAUGUUGAAGUCAUCGUAUCGCGC